GUGAACGCUGGCGGUAGGCCUAACACCUGCAAGUCGAACGGCAGCACAGUAAGAGCUUGCUCUUACGGGUGGCGAGUGGCGGACGGGUGAGGAAUACAUCGGAAUCUACUUUUUAGUGGGGGAUAACGUAGGGAAACUUACGCUAAUACCGCAUACGACCUACGGGUGAAAGCAGGGGAUCUUCGGACCUUGCGCGAUUGAAUGAGCCGAUGUCGGAUUAGCUAGUUGGCGGGGUAAAGGCCCACCAAGGCGACGAUCCGUAGCUGGUCUGAGAGGAUGAUCAGCCACACUGGAACUGAGACACGGUCCAGACUCCUACGGGAGGCAGCAGUGGGGAAUAUUGGACAAUGGGCGCAAGCCUGAUCCAGCCAUACCGCGUGGGUGAAGAAGGCCUUCGGGUUGUAAAGCCCUUUUGUUGGGAAAGAAAAGCAGCAGGUUAAUACCCCGCUGUUCUGACGGUACCCAAAGAAUAAGCACCGGCUAACUUCGUG
rnacentral:rRNA from 1 species